UCCCCGCUUUUCCUCCCUGAGCGGGCGCCUUAAUGUGUGACAGCAAAAAGGCUUCCCACCCCGGCUUUCAGGCCGGGGUUUUUUUU
rnacentral:ncRNA from 1 species